UACGAAGGGGGCUAGCGUUGCUCGGAAUCACUGGGCGUAAAGCGCACGUAGGCGGAUCGCUAAGUCAGGGGUGAAAUCCUGGAGCUCAACUCCAGAACUGCCUUUGAUACUGGCAAUCUCGAGUCCGGGAGAGGUUAGUGGAACUGCGAGUGUAGAGGUGAAAUUCGUAGAUAUUCGCAAGAACACCAGUGGCGAAGGCGGCUAACUGGUCCGGUUCUGACGCUGAGGCGCGAAAGCGUGGGGAGCAAACAGG
rnacentral:rRNA from 1 species